rnacentral:rRNA from 1 species
GAUGAACGCUGGCGGCGUGCUUAACACAUGCAAGUCGAACGAUGAAGCCCAGCUUGCUGGGUGGAUUAGUGGCGAACGGGUGAGUAACACGUGAGCAACCUGCCCCUGACUCUGGGAUAAGCGCUGGAAACGGCGUCUAAUACUGGAUAUGUCCCGUCACCGCAUGGUGUGCGGGUGGAAAGAUUUUUCGGUUGGGGAUGGGCUCGCGGCCUAUCAGCUUGUUGGUGAGGUAAUGGCUCACCAAGGCGUCGACGGGUAGCCGGCCUGAGAGGGUGACCGGCCACACUGGGACUGAGACACGGCCCAGACUCCUACGGGAGGCAGCAGUGGGGAAUAUUGCACAAUGGGCGGAAGCCUGAUGCAGCAACGCCGCGUGAGGGAUGACGGCCUUCGGGUUGUAAACCUCUUUUAGCAGGGAAGAAGCGAAAGUGACGGUACCUACAGAAAAAGCACCGGCUAACUACGUG